AUUCACAUUAGGUGUUCCUUUGUGGUUCAAUCCUUAACACGUGGCACCACAAGGGAACUCCCAAAGUGAAAUUUUUAUUUUACUUUUUACAAUUUUUAUUUAUUUAUUUAUUGGUCUUCUGUCUUUUUAGGGCUGCACCCACAGCACGUGGAGGUUCCCAGGCUAGGGGUCGAAUCGGAGCUGCAGCUGCCAGCCUGCACCACAGCCACAGCAACAUAGGAUCUGAGCUGCAUCUGCGACCUACACCACAGCUCAUGGCAAUGCCAGAUCCUUAACCCACUGAGCAAGGCCAGGGAUCCAUCCUGCAUCUUCAUGAAUAUUAGUCGGCUUCAUUAACCACUGUGCCACAAUGGGAACUCCUGAAAUUUUUAUUUUAAAAAAGCAUUCAAGGUAGGCAGAGAAUUCUGUUCUUUUACUUGCUGAUUAAUUUUUGAUAUAUCUAGUUAAUAAAAAGGUCUAACCACUAAUGCCAUUCAUUUGUGGUGAGCAGUGUAGAUGCCCUUUUCUCUCGUGCAUGUCUGUGUAUCAAAAUUCCAUGGCUUAUAUAAAUCUGUGAAUAAAGGAGCUUCUGUAUCUAGGUUGCCUGCACCAGUUUGAUCUACUCCUGAGAAUUGGUUACCUUGCCUGAAAAUUGCUCUUCAGACAGAAAGAUGGAUAUUUAUUCAUUCUCAUAGAAACUAUUUGCUAAAUGCUAAAUAAAUAAGCCCAAGAACCUAAAGGAAAUACAAAGAAGUGGAUGUCUUGGUCCAAGAGACUCAUACAACAGAUACCUUGAUAAUUGUGAUCGUUGGUGAGUGAUUUAAGUGUGGUAGGAGUGCUGGCACAGUUCAGUAGAGUGAGAGGAAAGACAGGCAGGUUUUUUGACUGAAUUAUUCAGAGGAGGCAUCAUGGAUGUGAUGGCGUUUGAAGGGGUCUUAAGGACUUGACUUGUUUUGCUUCUAUGGGGAGGAACGUGAAAGCAGAAUCAAGGACAUGGGGGCAGCCAGAGUCGGAUCUAAUCUGAGCACGGUAGGAUGACUUGCAUGAUGGCAGUGGAAGAGUCUUACAAGGAGAGGUGAGAGACCAGAGAGGCUGUCCUGGUGUUAUGCUUUCCUCCCAGAGUCACUUCCUGGAGCUGCAUGCUCUUUAUCCCAGUGGUCACACUGGUAUUUUGGCUGUCUGGGUGGGGAUUGUUCAGGGACACUCUAAGUUCAGUCCAAAUUAGGCAGUUGGGGAUUGGCCAGGAAAAAAAAUCUAUAAAUAUCUGUCUUUUCUUCUUUCCUUUUGCCUCAGAUGAAGAGGCUUCUUUUUCUUUUUUCCCAAGGCUAACUCUUCCAUCUGAGCCCCCAGUCCUAUCUUGACCUCAAGUUUUAAAGAACUCAGCUCGGCUUUCAGAUGCUGAGUGACUCCUCUAAUCUUAGUUUCUGGAGCAGCUACCUACCCCCUUCUCCACUUAGUUUCUGGAGCAACUACCUACCCCCCGCUCCACUUACUAGAGGAAAGAAAACCUAACUUUUCCCCCCAGUCCAGCUUUCUUGUCAUGAUACAGAGUAUUUUCAGAGGGAACAUGGUGGUCUGAUUCAGAGCAAAGGUGUUCUGUUCUUUCACUUAUAACUCGAAUCAGAAUUUUCAGCUACUUGUUUUUUUUCUUAUGUGUCUUUUGCAGGCUAACUUAAAUAUCACUUUGAAAAUAAGGCAAAAAAUGUAAUGACGAUAACAAAGUGAAAAUAUUAUAGCCACUAAUACUUAUAUAGUACUCAUGUCACAGGCACUAUAUACAAAGUACUUUACCUGUUUAAUUCAUUUAUUCCUCAUAGCAGCAUUUUUCUUUUACUAUAUGUUUCUGUUCUCUUUAUCCUCUGGCAGUAGUGUUUAAAAGUAGGUUUCCUUCUUGAAGGAUUUUUCUCUUUUCCCUUUGCUUUGUCUUUUGGGCAACUGAUAAAUUAUGAGCAAGUUAUACCUCUACAUUUUUCUUUGGAAGGCAUGACUGUACUAGUGUGUUUGCCUUGGAAGGAUGAGGGAAGUCUUCCAUGGGAAGCUGAAUCAUUUUUUGGCUUGUCUGACUGAGUGACUAUGCUAGAGCUAUUCUUUUUGCUGUGAAGUAAAAAAAAUAAAUAAAUAAAUCGGGUAAUUUCCUAAAGUAACACAUUUUCAUUUUAUGUGGGAUUCAAAACUUUCCUAAGGGUAUGGCUAUUUUGAACGUGAGUUUUCUUAUCUGGCCAGGGCUUUUAUCCUUUAAAUCAGGAGCACUUUUAAGACUCUUCACCUUUUGCGUAUGUUAACACUGACAGACUUUUUUUUCCCCUCUUGUUUAAUAAAUAAAUCUGGUCAGUUAUUUGAAAAGUCUUAAGAUUAUGAUUGUGGUAUUAAAUGAAUUCAUAAUCAGUUAUUCAUUUAGCCUUUGGAUGUCUAAUACCAUUUUUGACACCCUUAGAUUGAAGAAGCACCUGGGUUUUAAGGAACUUGUCAUUCUACUUAGAGGCAGAUUAACACACAGCAUCAAGGAACAGUAUAGAACAGAAACCAUAAAGUGAGUCUCUCACAGUCUAAGGACCAUCAUAGUUCAUAGCAUAGUUAUAAGGAGUGUUAGAGUAGGCAGAGCACUUAACUAGAAAAGUGGGAUUUGAAGGGUAGAUUUUGGUUAACGUGGAGAGACAAGGUAGGGUAUUCCAGAAACCACGAUUGUCCUAAGAGCCAGGGACAUUGAGGUAGGAAGAACCAUAUCCUAAUUGUGAAACUUGACAGACCAACCAUCUACCUGUCUUGAGUAUAAUAGCAAAUGAGACUGGGUAAGGAUCAUGGAAUAUGGCAUGAUGUCAAAGGAGAUUAAACUUGAUGAAGCUAAAGACUUGUACAUUCUUCCUGAAUUACAGCACAACACAUACCACUUCUGUGCUGAAGCAUCUUCAGUGGCUCCCAGCUGCCUCUGAAUAGAGACUAAACCUUUUAGCAUAGCAUCGUAUGCUUUUAUAGUCUAGGCUGUUAAUGCUUUUCCAGGCUAAUGUCAUAGCACUCUCUUACAGUAAUUUGAUGCAUAUAACUAGACAGCUUGCUAGUCCUCUCAUACGUAUCACUCAUCGACACCUGUACCUUCACUUACAGUCUCCAUAGGUGAUGCCUGCCUCCUCUCUCCUGUUUUCUCUCUCUGUCCCUUUAAGUUAAACCACCACCUUCAUGAAACCUUUCUACUUAGUCAGCGCAGUCAGAGAUUCCUUAUUCCUUGCUGAAACCCUGAAUUUCAUUUAUACUGUCCACACCGUCUUAUAUUUCAUGCCAUUGAUUGCUCCUGCUGUGUUUCCUUGAGGUCCCAGAAAUCUCAUUCAUCUUUAUAUCUCUCGUAACAUCUUACAGAGCACCAUAACUGCAGCAGACAUUUAAAAUAUUUGUUGAAUAGAUAGAUAAAUUUAGCCAAUAUUUGCUAAUUUGCUACUAAUUGGCCAUGAUGUGUUGGUGGUGACAGACUUCCAUGACAAAAUUCUGGUCCAUAAUUGUCAGUGUUGUUUCCCUGACCUCAUUGCCUUUGUUUUAUAGAAUGAGGUUUGUUCUUAUUUCCAUAGAUGAUCAUAUGGAAAGGGAGUUUCUUACUUCUUGGCUGUUCCCUUCUGUUUCCAUUUCCUUGCCAAAACACUGUCCACCCUGCUUCCCUCCUCUAGCUGUUAUGAAACCUUUGUCCAUAUUCCUAACCAAGAUUCAGUGUGUACACUCAAGUGUUCUCUUUUGGUCUCUAUGACAGAAUCUCUUGGAAAGUAUUG
rnacentral:lncRNA from 1 species